UAGGCACCAUGUGACUGGCGCUGAAGACAGAAUACUGUCGGGGAGCAUGGUCGACGUCGCCGCGCGCCUGGGCAUUACCG
rnacentral:ncRNA from 10 species